rnacentral:rRNA from 1 species
AACGAACGCUGGCGGCAUGCCUAACACAUGCAAGUCGAACGAGACCUUCGGGUCUAGUGGCGCACGGGUGCGUAACGCGUGGGAACCUGCCCUUAGGUUCGGAAUAACUCCCCGAAAGGGGUGCUAAUACCGGAUAAUGUCUUCGGACCAAAGAGUUAUCGCCUUUGGAUGGGCCCGCGUUGGAUUAGCUAGUUGGUAGGGUAAAAGCCUACCAAGGCGACGAUCCAUAGCUGGUCUGAGAGGAUGAUCAGCCACACUGGGACUGAGACACGGCCCAGACUCCGACGGGAGGCAGCAGUGGGGAAUAUUGGACGAUGGGCGAAAGCCUGAUCAAGCAAUGCGGCGUGAGUGAUGAAGGCCUUAGGGUUGUAAAGCUCUUUUACCCGGGAUGAUAAUGACAGUACCGGGAGAAUAAGCUCCGGCUAACUCCGUG